UCCCCGAUAGCUCAGUUGGUAGAGCAAAUGACUGUUAAUCAUUUUGUCACAGGUUCGAGCCCUGUUUGGGGAG
rfam:Gossypium arboreum cultivar AKA8401 contig_23802_5, whole genome shotgun sequence.